UACGUAGGGGGCAAGCGUUGUCCGGAAUUACUGGGCGUAAAGCGUGCGCAGGCGGUUCGUUGUGUCGGCGGUGAAAGCCCCGGGCUCAACCUGGGAAUGGCCGUUGAAACUGGCGAACUGGAGUGUGGCAGAGGGGGGUGGAAUUCCGCGUGUAGCAGUGAAAUGCGUAGAGAUGCGGAGGAACACCGAUGGCGAAGGCAGCCCCCUGGGCUAACACUGACGCUCAGGCACGAAAGCGUGGGGAGCAAACAGG
rnacentral:rRNA from 1 species